GAACCUCUAAUGUGUGUGACCCCGCAGGUUCGAACCUAAGCCGGUAGCACAAGAACCAAUUCCUGUACUAAUCGAAGUGAUCAUCUAGCAAUGGUACCCGAUGUUCGGAUAGGUCGAAGAGUCGCAAUCGCAAUACUCAGAACCUACAUGAAUAUGGUUACUGUAUAAUUCAUCCUUUUGACCCCUGUGUUUAGGAUGACUCAAGGUUAAACUGUCAACCCUGAUCAGAUCAUCCGAAUCGUGUUCAACUCAAACAGUCCUGUGACUCCUCACAAGGACUACCCUGGCCAAGAUUUUGCUAAAUUGAAACACGACUGUACACAGCUCCUAAACUGGAGUGGUCAAUCCCAUCUUGACACACGCACCGAUAAGUCAAGUACUUGACUACACCCAGCAGCCUUCCGUCACUGAAUUAGAAAU
rnacentral:lncRNA from 1 species